GAUGAACGCUAGCGGCAGGCUUAACACAUGCAAGUCGAGGGGCAGCGGGGUCUUCGGACCGCCGGCGACCGGCGCACGGGUGCGUAACGCGUAUGCAACCUACCCAUAACAGAGGGAUAAUCCGGAGAAAUCUGGUCUAAUACCUCAUAACACUUAGAGUGGCAUCACUUAGAGUUGAAAUUUUCGGAGGUUAUGGAUGGGCAUGCGUGACAUUAGCUAGUUGGUAAGGUAACGGCUUACCAAGGCAACGAUGUCUAGGGGGACUGAGAGGUUAACCCCCCACACUGGUACUGAGACACGGACCAGACUCCUACGGGAGGCAGCAGUGAGGAAUAUUGGUCAAUGGACGGAAGUCUGAACCAGCCAUGCCGCGUGCAGGAUGACGGCUCUACGAGUUGUAAACUGCUUUUAUACGAGGGUAAAGUUCGGUACGUGUACCGUUUUGAAAGUAUCGUAUGAAUAAGGAUCGGCUAACUCCGUGCCAGCCGCCGCAGUAAAAC
rnacentral:rRNA from 1 species